CAAGGAAAAGAGAACAAGGGUGGGGCUUAAACUUCAGUACGGGUGCUUGCCGUGGUUCUGCUAUGCAUGUGGCUACAUCGGGCAUCAGGUCAUGUCUUGUGCGCGUAAGUUCAGGUGGUGAACCUGUAUGCUGACGACUGCGAUGCUUACCACCGAGGAAGUUCGUGCAGCAAGCAGGAAGCACCUUGGACAAAUUUUGGAUAGAGGAGCACGACUCGGAGGUAUGAGCCCCAGCAAGGGCCAUCACAGCUGCGCUGACAAGCAAGUCUUGUACUUGAACAGGUCCCUGUUUACCGAUGGCGAAAACUCAUCCUUGAUCCAGCUUACUUCUGCAAAUGUUGACCAACAGACAAUUCUCUUCAUGCCUUAUUCAUAACAUCAAAUUUCUCAACCUGAUGGCAUCUGUCAAGGAUCUCUAAAGCCGAUGGAUUAAACUUGUGUUUUUCUCGUGUGUUCAGUAUACAUGGUUAUCUUCGUAGGCUAAUUUCACUUUUGAUGUACUGAUGAUAAAGCGACAAUGGAAUCAGAAGGUGGUACGGCCGGCGGAUGCAUCCAUGUGCUAAUCAUCUGGCACCAAGCGGACGGAGCCGUACGAGUUGGGGCCACCAGCUGGCUGACAGCGCACACAUGGGCGAGCAUGAGCAACAUGGAGCUAGGGAGUAAGCUGGGAGCGGAUGGACGGGGCGUGAGGUAGAACGGGGGUGGGGAGCGGGCGGACCGUGGACAGAAGAGAACAACACCAGGUUUGUUAAUUACUUUAUGCACGAUCACAGAUUUAUCUCUUUAUUUAUGUGGCUUAUCAGGCUUGCUGCACGAUCACAGAUUUAUCUCUUUAUUUAUGUGGGUGGACAGAAACAUCCUUUCUAAAGUUUUCUUGGGGCUGUACUGACGAACAACUUGUUCAGUGAUACCAACCCCUUCGAGCUCCCUCAACCCUUCGACAACACUUAUUCAGUUUCUCACCACAAGUGAGUUCUAUUUGCACCAACAUUCGUGUUAAUCAUUGUACGUGCUGGUAAUCAGAGUUUAGAUAAAUGCUACUAAUGCUAGCGCUCGCCCUACAUGGACAGAGUGGUGGCCGAACGAUAUGGUUAAAUAAUAAACUGACUUGGAAGAAGCAACAGAACUUAUUAUGGACAAAGAGAGAUGCACAAUUUUUCUAAUCUGUUUAUUAUUGGUCGUUUCAUGCAUCGUUUAGGGUAAAAAAUUCCUAGAACAUGAGUUUGUCCUUGCAUAAUUAUCCAUGCUUGAUGGCACUACAUCGUAUCAGCAUACUUUAAGUUUGUCCUUGUAUUAUCAUGUAUUCAGGGGCAAAAAUGCCCAGAACAAAGAAAUGAUGAAUUGUAUUGUAGUCAUUCUUGUAGUUAAAUAUUAUGUUUAAAAUUGAUCAUCACUUGGGAUGUUGCCCAGAACAAAGAUAGCUGGGAGUAGCAUGUUCUAGAAGAUGUGUUUUGCUGCAGCAGUUUCUAAAUGGUAAAUUGUAUGGUUUCAAGUGCCUAAGUUCAUAUGCAAUAGUUUGCCAGCCAAUUGCACAUUGCAAUUAAGUUUCUGGUUGUAACUUCUGGAACAUUUUUUAAAAGGGAACAAAAUCAUCCAUGUGUUAAUUUUAAUUAAAGGAGAAUAGCAAUGCACACGCUUUCACGAGACAAUCGAUCUUAAGCAUAAAAAAACAUUCAAGUGUUAUUAUCAUUUGUAAUGCAAUGCACAGUAAAGAGG